rnacentral:tRNA from 1 species
GGCAGCAUGGUGUAGUGGUUUGAGUGUUGGACUACCACUCUGGAGACCUGGGUUUGAUUCCGCACUCUGCCA